GAGGCUUCUUGAUCCUAUGUGUUGUAUUGAGUGUUGGUCACUGGUCUUUGGGAAGCUUGGACAGAAGUGGGGCAGCCAUGGAGCUGCUGACUGGGACUGGCCUGUGGCCCGUGGUCAUAGUCACAGUCAUCUUCAUAUUACUGGUGGACAUGUUGCACCGGUGCCAGCGCUGGACUUCUUGCUGCCCACCAGACCCUGUGCCAUGGCCUGUGCUGGGUAACCUGCUGCAGGUGGACCUGGAUAACAUGCCAUAUAACUUGUACAAGCUUCACAACCGCUAUGGUGACGUGUUCAGCCUGCAGAUGGGCUGGAACCACAUGGCCGUGAUCAACGGACUGAAGGUGAUACAGGAAGUGUUGGUGACCUGUGGAGAGGACACUGCUGACCGCCCUGAAAUGCCCAUCUUUCCACACCUAGGCUAUGGGCAAAAAGCUAAAGGCAAAGGCUGUGUGGGGGCAGAGAUGGCAUCAAAGCCAGACAAGGGGGGACAGUGAGCAAAGGAAGGUCAGAUCAUGAUGCAGGUGGUAAUGUAGUUAAGCAUUGCAGCAGAAAGUCACAGAAAUCCAUUGUGGAGCCUCCUGAGCAUGGUGGAGGGUGGUAGAGACAUGUACUGGAGGAAGGGUGAGGUAUGGAGGACACCGACAAAGAAGAGAAAUGAAGGUGGGAGGGGGCACCAAAGCCAGGUGUCCUUGGUUUUACACAGAUGUGUCUGCAGGUGUGGUCCUUGCUCCUUAUGGGCCUGAGUGGAAAGAGCAGAGGUGAUUCUCUGCGUCGACCCUGUGCAACUUCAGCCUGGGCAAGAAAUCACUGGAGCAGUGGGUGAUGGAAGAGGUUGGACACCUCUUUGAUGUCUUCACUGCCCAUGCUGAGGAGGCUGUAGACAAGAGAUUUGGAAAGAACACAUCUAGAAGUGUCCACCACAGUAAUAGGAGCCUGGAGAUUGACAUACAGCAAAAGGAAGUGAGAAGCUGACCAAGGUCAGGGCUUCUAGAAGCUGAGACCCUGGCCCUCUGCCCACAUGGAACAUCUGUGAGAUUUUCCAGGGUUGGCUGACAAAGUCUUCCCUGGGCAAAAGACAUUUCUCAUAAUGGUGGAUAAGCUGGUGACUGAGCACAAGAGGACCUGGAACUCGGACCAGCCGCCUCGAGACCUGACUGAUGCCUUUAUGGCUGAGAUGGAGAAGGCAAAGGGAAACCCUGAGAGUAGCUUCAAUGAUGCAAAUCUAUGUCUGGUUGUCCUUGACCUGCUGGGUGCUGCAACUGUGACCACCUCAACCACACUGUCCUGGGCCCUGCUGCUUAUGAUCCUGCAUCCGGAUGUGCAGUGCCAAGUACAACAGGAAAUCGAUGAGGUCAUUUGGUAUGUGUGGCUUCCAGAGAUGGCAGACCAGGUCUGCAUGCCCUUCACCAAUGCUGUCAUUCAUGAGGGCAUGACUCUCAUCUCCAACCUGUUCCGUGCUGAAGGAUGAGACUGUCUGGGAGAAGCCCCUUCGCUUCCAUCCUGAACACUUCCUGGAUGCCCAGGGCCACUUUGUGAAGCCUGAGGCCUUCAUGCCAUUCUCAGCAGGCCACAGAUCAUGCCUGGGGGAGCCCCUGGCCCUCAUGGAGCUCUUCCUCUUCUUCACCUGCCUCCUGCAGCGCUUUAGCUUCUCAAUGCCAGCUGGACAAUCCCUUCCCAGUGAUUAUGGCAUCUAUACAAUGCCAGUUACUCCAGCACCUACCAGCUCUGUGCAGUGGUUUGCUAGCAGGGGCAGUGGCUCCAGCCAUCAUCACAGAUUGUUCUGACUGAUGUCCAAUAAACAAGUUUUGUGUCUGAAUCUCA
rnacentral:lncRNA from 1 species